rnacentral:rRNA from 1 species
CCUAAAGUUCCCAUGGCAAACUGCUCAGUAACACAUGAUCAACUUACCCUAUAGAGAAAAAUAACCUCGGGAAACUGAGGAUAAUAUUUCAUAGUUGAAUUGGCUUGGAAAAGUUUUUCGACGAAAGGGGUAAAAAAAAUGGUUUUUAUCUGCUAUAGGAUAGGAUCGUGUUCGAUUAUGGUUGUUGGUGAGGUAAUGGCUCACCAAGCCGAUAAUCGAUAGGGGCCGUGAGAGCGGGAGCCCCGAGAUGGGUACUGAGACAACGACCCAGGCCUUACGAGGCGCAGCAGGCGCAAAACCUCCGCAAUACACGAAAGUGUGACGGGGUUACCCAAAGUGUUCUAUUUAGAACUGUGGUAGGUGAGUAAUGUCCCCUACUAGAAAGGAGAGGGCAAGGCUGGUGCCAGCCGCCGCGGUAAAACCAGCUCUUCAAGUGGUCGGGAUAAUUAUUGGGCUUAAAGUGUCCGUAGCCGGUUUAGUAAGUUCCUGGUAAAAUCGGGUAGCUUAACUAUCUAUAUGCUAGGAAUACUACUAUACUAGAGGGCGGGAGAGGUCUGAGGUACUACAGGGGUAGGGGUGAAAUCUUAUAAUCCUUGUAGGACCACCAGUGGCGAAGGCGUCAGACUGGAACGCGCCUGACGGUGAGGGACGAAAGCCAGGGGAGCGAACCGGAUUAGAUACCCGGGUAGUCCUGGCCGUAAACGAUGCAUACUAGGUGAUGGCAUGGCCAUGAGCCAUGUCAGUGCCGUAGGGAAACCGUUAAGUGUGCCGCCUGGGAAGUACGGUCGCAAGGCUAAAACUUAAAGGAAUUGGCGGGGGAGCACCACAAGGGGUGAAGCCUGCGGUUCAAUUGGA